rnacentral:rRNA from 1 species
GUGGGGGAUAUUGCACAAUGGGGGAAACCCUGAUGCAGCGACGCCGCGUGAGGGAAGACGGCCUUCGGGUUGUAAACCUCUGUCAUAGGGGACGAAGGAAGUGACGGUACCCUAUGAGGAAGCCACGGCUAACUACGUGCCAGCAGCCGCGGUAAUACGUAGGUGGCGAGCGUUGUCCGGAAUUACUGGGUGUAAAGGGAGCGUAGGCGGGAUAUUAAGUUGAAUGUAUAAACUAUCGGCUCAACUGAUAGAAGCGUUCAAAACUGAUAUUCUUGAGUGAAGUAGAGGCAGGCGGAAUUCCUAGUGUAGCGGUGAAAUGCGUAGAUAUUAGGAGGAACACCAGUGGCGAAGGCGGCCUGCUGGGCUUUAACUGACGCUGAGGCUCGAAAGCGUGGGUAGCAAACAGG